rnacentral:rRNA from 1 species
AUUUGAAAUCUGGCGCAAGCCCGAGUUGUAAUUUGUAGAGGAUGCUUCUGGGUAGCGGCCGGUCUAAGUUCCUUGGAACAGGACGUCAUAGAGGGUGAGAAUCCCGAAUGUGACUGGCUUGCACCCUCCACGUAGCUCCUUCGACGAGUCGAGUUGUUUGGGAGUGCAGCUCUAAAUGGGAGGUAAAUUUCUUCUAAAGCUAAAUACCGGCCAGAGACCGAUAGCGCACAAGUAGAGUGAUCGAAAGAUGAAAAGCACUUUGGAAAGAGAGUUAAAAAGCACGUGAAAUUGUUGAAAGGGAAGCGCCCGCAACCAGACUUUGCGGCAGGGUUCGGCCGGUCUUCUGACCGGUUUACUCGCUGUUCGGAGUCCCUCAUCGUCUGGAACCGCUGGAUAAGACCUUAGGAAUGUGGCUCCCCUCGGGGAGCUUUAAGACCUCUGGAGUAGCGCUCGCCUCUGUAGAGGUCCGCGCUGCGCGAAGUGUACGUCAGAACUGCUGCUAGCCUCCCCCGUCUUGAACCUCUGGCUUCACAGUCUACCAUCAUAUGCGAGUGUUCUGUCGUCACCCCCCAGCUAUGUAUCUUACUCAAAUCGGAUGUGAGGAACUUUUUGAUCGACUCGAUGACCGCAUCAAAAAUGUUCCUCACGAUCCGAUCACAGUAAAUAGCAUAGUAGGGUGUGGACCACAAAAACGCUGGACCUAUGUCUGAAAAUGGGUUGAGUCCAGAGGUAAACUAUGGUCCGGGGCUCGACGCUUUUCUCUCAUCGAUGCAUUGCCGAUCGCCCAGAAUCUUCGGCAUGAGGAGCCGAAUAGCACUCAACAGAGGCAUACUAAGUACUCUCGCUACCGUGGCCGCCAGGAUUUCCCCUACAGGUAAAGUCCGUAGACUCUCCGAGUUAUUGAUGAGG